rnacentral:rRNA from 1 species
GACGAACGCUGGCGGCGUGCUUAACACAUGCAAGUCGAACGGUAAGGCCCUUCGGGGUACACGAGUGGCGAACGGGUGAGUAACACGUGGGUGAUCUGCCCUGCACUUCGGGAUAAGCCUGGGAAACUGGGUCUAAUACCGGAUAGGACUCCUGGCUUCAUGGUUGGGGGUGGAAAGCUUUUGCGGUGUGGGAUGGGCCCGCGGCCUAUCAGCUUGUUGGUGGGGUAAUAGCCUACCAAGGCGACGACGGGUAGCCGGCCUGAGAGGGUGACCGGUCACACUGGGACUGAGAUACGGCCCAGACUCCUACGGGAGGCAGCAGUGGGGAAUAUUGCACAAUGGGCGCAAGCCUGAUGCAGCGACGCCGCGUGAGGGAUGACGGCCUUCGGGUUGUAAACCUCUUUCAGCUAUGACGAAGCGCAAGUGACGGUAGUAGCAGAAGAAGGACCGGCCAACUACGUGCCAGCAGCCGCCGCAG